GAAGCAGGCCCGAUGGUCGCCCGCCAAUAGGCGGGAGGAAAGUCCGAGCUCCAUAGGGCAGGGUGCUCCGUAAUGCGGAGUCUGUUUCCUCUGUAAAGAGGGGGCAGAAGGAAAGUGCCACAGAAAAAAUACCGCCCUGUACCGUAAUGGUACAGGGUAAGGGUGAAAAGGCGAGGUAAGAGCUCACCGCUCUGAUGGCAACAUCAGGGGCAUGGUAAACCCCACCCGGAGCAAGACCAAAUAGGUUCCGCUCCACUUGAUGGUAAGAAUGGCCCAUUCAAUAUUCUAUUUUAUAGAAAGGCGGAACGGGUUAGGUCGCACGAUCCUGAUAGCAAUAUUCAGGACAAGAGGAAUGACCGUCAUCCAUCUCAUCCACAAGAUGGGAUGGCUAACAGAACUCGGCUUAUGACCUGCUUUGGCA
rnacentral:RNase_P_RNA from 2 species